CCAACGGCCCUCUUUAGGGCCACCAAUAUCCUAUAAUCCUAUCUG
rnacentral:ncRNA from 13 species